UACGGAGGGUGCGAGCGUUGUCCGGAAUUACUGGGCGUAAAGCGUGCGCAGGCGGUUGUGCAAGACAGAUGUGAAAUCCCCGGGCUUAACCUGGGAAUUGCAUUUGUGACUGCACGGCUAGAGUGUGUCAGAGGGGGGGUAGAAUUCCACGUGUAGCAGUGAAAUGCGUAGAGAUGUGGAGGAACACCGAUGGCGAAGGCAGCCCCCCUGGGUCAAGAUUGACGCUCAUGCACGAAAAGCGUGGGGGAGCAAAACAGG
rnacentral:rRNA from 1 species